rnacentral:rRNA from 1 species
UACGUAGGGGGCAAGCGUUGUCCGGAUUCAUUGGGCGUAAAGAGCGUGUAGGCGGCCAGGUAGGUCGGUUGUGAAAACUGGAGGCUCAACCUUCAGAGGUCGACCGAAACCAUCUGGCUAGAGUCCGGGAGAGGAGAGUGGAAUUCCCGGUGUAGCGGUGAAAUGCGCAGAUAUCGGGAGGAACACCGGUGGCGAAGGCGGUUCUCUGGGCCUGUACUGACGCUGAGGAGCGAAAGCGUGGGGAGCGAACAGG